UACGGAGGGUGCGAGCGUUGUCCGGAAUCAUUGGGCGUAAAGGGCGCGUAGGUGGCCCGGUCAGUUCGUGGUGAAAGCGCGGGGCUCAACCCUGCGUCGGCCAUGAAUACUGCCGCGGCUGGAGCACUGUAGAGGCAGGCGGAAUUCCGGGUGUAGCGGUGGAAUGCGUAGAGAUCCGGAAGAACACCGGUGGCGAAGGCGGCCUGCUGGGCAGUGGCUGACGCUGAGGCGCGACAGCGUGGGGGAGCAAACAGG
rnacentral:rRNA from 1 species